rnacentral:rRNA from 1 species
AACGAACGCUGGCGGCAUGCCUAACACAUGCAAGUCGAACGAGACCUUCGGGUCUAGUGGCGCACGGGUGCGUAACGCGUGGGAAUCUGCCCUUGGGUUCGGAAUAACAGUUGGAAACGACUGCUAAUACCGGAUGAUGACGUAAGUCCAGAGAUUUAUCGCCCAAGGAUGAGCCCGCGUAGGAUUAGCUAGUUGGUGAGGUAAAGGCUCACCAAGGCGACGAUCCUUAGCUGGUCUGAGAGGAUGAUCAGCCACACUGGGACUGAGACACGGCCCAGACUCCUACGGGAGGCAGCAGUGGGGAAUAUUGGACAAUGGGCGAAAGCCUGAUCCAGCAAUGCCGCGUGAGUGAUGAAGGCCUUAGGGUUGUAAAGCUCUUUUACCCGGGAUGAUAAUGACAGUACCGGGAGAAUAAGCUCCGGCUAACUCCGUG